GAACAUUUGAAAAGGGACUGGACAGAGGAAAUGCAACAAAGGGCGGAGGUCAGAUUUCAUUUGUCAUUCUGUCCGGCAUCGUAGGCCUCACAACAUGGAGAAGACCCAUGCUGCUGCUGGUCAAUGUGUUUGUCCUGCUGUCUGUGGUGUGUGUGCUCCUUAACCUGGCUGGAUUCAUCCUGUGCUGCCAGGGAGCCCAGCUGGUGUCCAGUAUGACCAGCUGCCAACU